UGGUUGGCCAGGUCGAACGGGGUCAACACUGCCCUAGACCUGCCCUCAGGUUAUAGUUUGUAGCCUAUGCCCUAUCUCAUGCGAACCAUGUCAUACCAAUAGACCAAAGGCCCAUGCCCUAUCUCAUGCGAACCAUGUCAUACCAAUAGAACAAAGGCCUCAAGGCUCAUCCUCAUCUUUGUAUUCCUUCUCUUUUUUCCACCUUCUCCCCUUGCAUUAUUUUUUCCCUCAUUACCCUUUUCUUCUUUUUGCACCUCCUCAUCUUAACAUUAUUUCUCUCACAUUCCCCAAUUUUGUCCUUUACUUUUCUUUUAUUCUAACUUCUUAUUGUCCUUAUCUUUUCCUUCUUCCUUUUGGGCAACAGGGCUCUAAGCCAUGGAGGUACACAGGCAAGGAGGCAAACAUGGAGAGGGAAGACAUCAAAAUGCUAGUCCAAAAGUGGUGGGAUAUCUACGAUGAUGAAUCUCUGGACUUCAAGGAAGAGGACUCAAUCCCAGAGGCUGAGAGCUUGAGCAAGCCAUCAAUCAUGGCUUCAAUGCCAGAACCAGCUAUCUCCUUCAUCCCUGCCCCCUCUGCUGCUUAAGAUGCCAUAACCAUCAUCUCGUUAUC
rnacentral:lncRNA from 1 species